GACGAACCGAGCGAACGUUGUUCGGAAUCACUGGGCUUAAAGGGCGCGUAGGCGGGCGUUCAAGUCAGGGUGAAAGCCCCAGCUCAACUGGGAAGUGCCUCUGAUACUGGAUGUCUCGAGGGGGAUAGGGGCGUGCGGAACUUCCGGUGGAGCGGUGAAUGCGCAGAUAUCAGGAAGAACACCGAUGGCGAAGGCAGUUCUCUGGGACGGUACUGACGCUGAGACGCGAAAGCGUGGGAGCGAACAGG
rnacentral:rRNA from 1 species